GUUUCAAACACUGGUUUCUGUAUGAUCAUCCAAGUUAAGCAAUGUCAAGCUUUGUUAGUACCUGGAUGGGUGACCACUUGGGAAUACUAGGGGCUGUAAG